rnacentral:misc_RNA from 1 species
AGCAGCCGCGGUAAUUCCAGCUCCAAUAGCGUAUAUUAAAGUUGUUGCAGUUAAAAAGCUCGUAGUUGAAUUUCGGGGUUAGCAGGUCGGUCGUGCCAUCGGUAUGAACUGGUCUCGCUGAUCCCUCCCUCUUGACGAACUGUGAUGCCAUUAAUUUGGUGUCGCAGGGAAUCAGGACUGUUACUUUGAAAAAUUAGAGUGUUUAAAGCAGGCUCACGCUUGAAUACAUUAGCAUGGAAUAAUGAAAUAGGACGUUUGAUCCUAUUUUGUUGGCUUCUAGGAUUGACGUAAUGAUUAAUAGGGAUAGUUGGGGGCAUUAGUAUUCAAUUGUCAGAGGUGAAAUUCUUGGAUUUAUUGAAGACUAACUACUGUCGAAAGCGUUUGCCAAGGAUGUUUUCAUUAAUCAAGAACGAAAGUUAGGGGAUCGAAGACGAUCAGAUACCGUCGUAGUCUUAACCAUAAACUAUGCCGACUAGGGAUCGGAUGAUGUUAAUUUUUAAUGUACUCAUUCC